UUUCCGUAGGUGAACCUGCGGAAGGAUCAUUCAUAAUAAAGUGUUUUAUGGCACUUUUUAAAAAUCCAUAUCCACCUUGUGUGCAAUGUUAGAUCUCGUCAAUCUUGGCGAGAUUUUUAUACAUCAACUCAUUCUUUAACUAAUUUGUCUGAAAAAUAUUAUGAAUACUUAAUUCAAAAUACAACUUUCAACAACGGAUCUCUUGGCUCAC
rnacentral:misc_RNA from 1 species